rnacentral:rRNA from 1 species
GCUUAACACAUGCAAGUCGAGGGGCAGCAUUUUAGUUUGCUUGCAAACUGAAGAUGGCGACCGGCGCACGGGUGAGUAACACGUAUCCAACCUGCCGAUAACUCCGGAAUAGCCUUUCGAAAGAAAGAUUAAUACCGGAUAGCAUACGAAUAUCGCAUGAUAUUUUUAUUAAAGAAUUUCGGUUAUCGAUGGGGAUGCGUUCCAUUAGUUUGUUGGCGGGGUAACGGCCCACCAAGACUACGAUGGAUAGGGGUUCUGAGAGGAAGGUCCCCCUCAUUGGAACUGAGACACGGUCCAAACUCCUACGGGAGGCAGCAGUGAGGAAUAUUGGUCAAUGGGCGAGAGCCUGAACCAGCCAAGUAGCGUGAAGGAUGAAGGCUCUAUGGGUCGUAAACUUCUUUUAUAUGGGAAUAAAGUUUUCCACGUGUGGAAUUUUGUAUGUACCAUAUGAAUAAGGAUCGGCUAACUCCGUGCCAGCAGCCGCGGUAAUACGGAGGAUCCGAGCGUUAUCCGGAUUUAUUGGGUUUAAAGGGAGCGUAGGUGGAUUGUUAAGUCAGUUGUGAAAGUUUGCGGCUCAACCGUAAAAUUGCAGUUGAAACUGGCAGUCUUGAGUACAGUAGAGGUGGGCGGAAUUCGUGGUGUAGCGGUGAAAUGCUUAGAUAUCACGAAGAACUCCGAUUGCGAAGGCAGCUCACUAGACUGUCACUGACACUGAUGCUCGAAAGUGUGGGUAUCAAACAGGAUUAGAUACCCUGGUAGUCCACACAGUAAACGAUGAAUACUCGCUGUUUGCGAUAUACAGUAAGCGGCCAAGCGAAAGCAUUAAGUAUUCCACCUGGGGAGUACGCCGGCAACGGUGAAACUCAAAGGAAUUGACGGGGGCCCGCACAAGCGGAGGAACAUGUGGUUUAAUUCGAUGAUACGCGAGGAACCUUACCCGGGCUUAAAUUGCAACAGAAUAUAUUGGAAACAGUAUAGCCGUAAGGCUGUUGUGAAGGUGCUGCAUGGUUGUCGUCAGCUCGUGCCGUGAGGUGUCGGCUUAAGUGCCAUAACGAGCGCAACCCUUAUCUUUAGUUACUAACAGGUCAUGCUGAGGACUCUAGAGAGACUGCCGUCGUAAGAUGUGAGGAAGGUGGGGAUGACGUCAAAUCAGCACGGCCCUUACGUCCGGGGCUACACACGUGUUACAAUGGGGGGUACAGAAGGCGGCUACCUGGUGACAGGAUGCUAAUCCCAAAAACCUCUCUCAGUUCGGAUCGAAGUCUGCAACCCGACUUCGUGAAGCUGGAUUCGCUAGUAAUCGCGCAUCAGCCAUGGCGCGGUGAAUACGUUCCCGGGCCUUGUACACACCGCCCGUCAAGCCAUGAAAGCCGGGGGUACCUGAAGUACGUAACCGCAAGGAGCGUCCUAGGGUAAAACUGGUAAUUGGGGCUAAGUC